rnacentral:rRNA from 1 species
AACGAACGCUGGCGGCAUGCCUAACACAUGCAAGUCGAACGAGACCUCCGGGUCUAGUGGCGCAAGGGUGCGUAACGCGUGGGAACCUGCCCUUAGGUUCGGAAUAACUCCCCGAAAGGGGUGCUAAUACCGGAUAAUGUCUUCGGACCAAAGAUUUAUCGACUUUGGAUGGGCCCGCGUUGGAUUAGCUUGUUGGUAGGGUAAAAGCCUACCAAGGCGACGAUCCAUAGCUGGUCUGAGAGGAUGAUCAGCCACACUAGGACUGAGACAAGGCCCAGACUCCGACGGGAGGCAGCAGUGAUGAAUAUUGAACAAAGGGCGAAAGCCUGAUCCAGCAGUGCCGCGUGAGUGAUGAAGGCCUUAGGAUUGUAAAGCUCUUUUACCCGGGAUGUUAAUGACAGGACCGGGAGAAGAAGCUGCGGCUAACUCGGU